GGCUAAUCAGUAUAUCAGUAUAUCAGGCUAAUCAGUAUAUCAGUAUAUCAGGCUAAUCAGUAUAUCAGUGUAUUAGGCUAAUCAGUAUAUCAGUAUAUCAGGCUAAUCAGUAUAUCAGGCUAAUCAGUAUAUCAGUAUAUCAGUAUAUCAGGCUAAUCAGUAUAUCAGUAUAUCAGGCUAAUCAGUAUAUCAGUGUAUUAGGCUAAUCAGUAUAUCAGUAUAUCAGUAUAUCAGGCUAAUCAGUAUAUCAGUGUAUUAGGCUAAUCAGUAUAUCAGUAUAUCAGUAUAUCAGGCUAAUCAGUGUAUC
ensembl:lncRNA